UAAUAUCAUUAAUUCUGUGCUCCAUUGACA
rnacentral:piRNA from 1 species